rnacentral:tRNA from 16 species
CUCAACCGGGCUAAGCGUGGGUCUCGCAACCGAAAGGUCGUUGGAUCGAUUCCCAGAUUG